UACGUAGGGUGCAAGCGUUGUCCGGAAUUAUUGGGCGUAAAGAGCUCGUAGGCGGUCUGUCGCGUCUGCUGUGAAAACUCGGGGCUUAACCCCGGGCCUGCAGUGGGUACGGGCAGACUAGAGUGCGGUAGGGGAGACUGGAAUUCCUGGUGUAGCGGUGAAAUGCGCAGAUAAUCAGGAGGAACACCGGUGGCGAAGGCGGGUCUCUAGGCCGACACUGACGCUGAGGAGCGAAGCGUGGGGAGCGAACAGG
rnacentral:rRNA from 1 species